rnacentral:rRNA from 1 species
UACGUAGGGUGCGAGCGUUGUCCGGAAUUAUUGGGCGUAAAGGGCUCGUAGGCGGUCUGUUGCGUCGGUAGUGAAAACUCAGGGCUUAACCCUGAGCCUGCUUCCGAUACGGGCAGACUAGAGGUAUGCAGGGGAGAACGGAAUUCCUGGUGUAGCGGUGAAAUGCGCAGAUAUCAGGAGGAACACCGGUGGCGAAGGCGGUCCUCUGGGCAUUACCUGACGCUGAGGAGCGAAAGUGUGGGGAGCGAACAGG